rnacentral:rRNA from 1 species
GACGAACGCUGGCGGCGUGCCUAAUACAUGCAAGUCGAACGCACGAAGUUGAAGAGCUUGCUCUUUAACCAAGUGAGUGGCGGACGGGUGAGUAACACGUGGGUAACCUGCCCAUUAGAGGGGGAUAACAUUCGGAAACGGAUGCUAAUACCGCAUAGUUUCAGGAAUCGCAUGAUUCUUGAAGGAAAGGUGGCUUCGGCUACCACUAAUGGAUGGACCCGCGGCGUAUUAGCUAGUUGGUGAGGUAAUGGCUCACCAAGGCAAUGAUACGUAGCCGACCUGAGAGGGUGAUCGGCCACACUGGGACUGAGACACGGCCCAGACUCCUACGGGAGGCAGCAGUAGGGAAUCUUCCGCAAUGGACGAAAGUCUGACGGAGCAACGCCGCGUGAGUGAAGAAGGUUUUCGGAUCGUAAAACUCUGUUGUUAAAGAAGAACAAGGAUGAGAGUAACUGCUCAUCCCCUGACGGUAUUUAACCAGAAAGCCACGGCUAACUACGUGCCAGCAGCCGCGGUAAUACGUAGGUGGCAAGCGUUAUCCGGAAUUAUUGGGCGUAAAGCGCGCGUAGGCGGUUUUUUAAGUCUGAUGUGAAAGCCCACGGCUCAACCGUGGAGGGUCAUUGGAAACUGGAAAACUUGAGUGCAGAAGAGGAAAGUGGAAUUCCAUGUGUAGCGGUGAAAUGCGCAGAGAUAUGGAGGAACACCAGUGGCGAAGGCGACUUUCUGGUCUGUAACUGACGCUGAUGUGCGAAAGCGUGGGGAUCAAACAGG